rnacentral:rRNA from 1 species
UUGGAGGGCAAGUCUGGUGCCAGCAGCCGCGGUAAUUCCAGCUCCAAUAGCGUAUAUUAAAGUUGUUGCAGCUAAAAAGCUCGUAGUUGAAUUUCGGGAUUGACGUGAUGGUCAUGCCUUAAGGGGUAUGAACUGUCACAGUUGAUUUCUCACCUUCUGGAGAAACUUGAUGUCCUUUAUUGGGUGUCUUGCGGAUCCAGGACCUUUACCUUGAAAAAAUUAGAGUGUUUAAAGCAGGCAUUUUUGCUCGAAUACAUUAGCAUGGAAUAAUAGAAUAGGACGGCAUGGUUCUAUUUUGUUGGUUUCUAGGAUCGCCGUAAUGAUUAAUAGGGAUAGUUGGGGGCAUUAGUAUUCAAUUGUCAGAGGUGAAAUUCUUGGAUUUAUUGAAGACUAACUACUGCGAAAGCAUUUGCCAAGGAUGUUUUCAUUAAUCAAGAACGAAAGUUAGGGGAUCGAAGACGAUCAGAUACCGUCGUAGUCUUAACCAUAAACUAUGCCGACUAGGAAUCAGACGAUGUUAAUUUUUUAAUGACUCGUUUGGCACCUUACGGGAAAC